AUUGAACGCUGGCGGCAGGCCUAACACAUGCAAGUCGAACGAGUGGCGGACGGGUGAGUAAUGCCUCGGAAACUGCCCUAUGGAGGGGGAUAACUACUGGAAACGGUAGCUAAUACCGCAUACCAUCGGAUGUGCCCAGGUGGGAUUAGCUAGUAGGCGGGGUAACGGCUCACCUAGGCGACGAUCCCUAGCUGGUCUGAGAGGAUGACACGCCAAACUGGAACGGAGACACGGUCCAGACUCCUAGGUGAGGCAGCAGGGGGGAAUAUUGCACAAUGGGCGCAAGCCUGAUGCAGCCAUGCCGCGUGUAUGAAGAAGGCCUUCGGGUUGUAAAGUACUUUCAGCGAGGAGGCGUUACUCGCAGAAGAAGCACCGGCUAACUACGUGCCAGCAGCCGCGGUAAUUC
rnacentral:rRNA from 1 species